GGGAACGUAGCUCAGUGGUAGAGUGCAUGCCUUGCAAGCAUGAGGCCCUGGGUUCGAUUCCUCAGCACCA
rnacentral:tRNA from 1 species